UACGGAGGGUGCAAACGUUGCUCGGAAUUACUGGGCGUAAAGGGCGCGUAGGCGGCCCGCUAAGUCGAACGUGAAAUCCCCAGGCUCAACCUGGGAACUGCGUCCGAUACUGGCAGGCUUGAAUCCGGGAGAGGGAUGUGGAAUUCCAGGUGUAGCGGUGAAAUGCGUAGAUAUCUGGAGGAACACCGGUGGCGAAGGCGGCAUCCUGGACCGGUAUUGACGCUGAGGCGCGAAAGCUAGGGGAGCAAACGGG
rnacentral:rRNA from 1 species